UAGAAAAUCCAAGGGAUAGAAAUCCCCAUCCGUCCCGUGCUCUGCGAUGAGAAAUCCCCAAAUCGCCGCCACUGAGGCGCCGGGAAGGACCGCGCCAUGGUGCGCCACCCAUUGGACGCCGCACUUGAGGUUUUCGCGGGGAGGAGGCUGUGGCAGAGUGCUGCCACUGGAGGUUGCGCCGUCGGGCGCUGCUGGUUGGCCGCGUGGAGCCGAGGCACCGAGGAGCGAGGCUGCUCGUCGCCGCCAAUCUUGGUGAAGGGAGGUCGCCGAGGGCGACGCCCGUAGGCUGGCAUUGAGGCCUACGGCCGCCUGCUCUUGGUGGAGCGGGGCUGUGCCGAGGGCCGAGUUGGGACGGAGGUUGUCAGGCGACGGCUGUGCCGCCCCCGAAGACGGCAUGGCCGUUGGUGUACCAUGUGCGUCGACGACGACUGAAAACGACGAAGAUGUAGGGGCGCAGAAGCAAAAGGUAGCCUUCAUGGCUACAAGUAACCACAGAUCGGGAGAAAACAGUGAGAAACAACUUGAUUUCUUACUUACUCACCGUUAUGAUUUCUUGAUAUUCUCUGAUUUGAUUGAUCCCAUCGAUUUUCAAAGAUUUCCUGAGAUCGGUUUCUUCCUCUUCUGUGUUCUUCCUCUUGAUCUUCUUCUCUUUGUUAUGAUUUGAUAUAGUUCGUAGAGGGAUUGUGAUUAGAACAUCAAUCAAUUAGUACAUAAAUAUAAUUAGAGGGAAGGCUUGAUUAGAGGAAUCAAUCGUGCAGAUUGAUUUUUACUUCCUGUAAAAGCAUGAGUUCUAUUCAUACUACAAUCGAUUUCCUGAGAUCGGUUUCUUCGGCUUCUUCUCUGUUCUUAAUUUUGGCUGUCCGUUCCGAUUGCUAGGCACGAAGUAAUGCAAUGAUUAAUUCGUUAGUUGUCGUGAAGAAAUUAAUCAAUAUGAUCGCAUGUAUGCAGGAAGCAGCAUCAUGAUUGUUCUUCCAAUCCAUCGAUGCAUGUUUGUCCUUCAGGUGUAGAUAUCUUCGCUGGCUUGAUUGAUUCAGAGAUCGGUUGCUUCUGAUCUAUCUUUUCUGAAUUUCAUUGGGAAUGCAUAAAAUCAAAUUGUGAUUAAUCAGUUCAUCAAUAGCAUAGGAGAAAACGAAAAAUAGGCAGAUGGAAUGUUUGAUUAGAUAAAUCAAUCGUCUAGAUCAAUUUCUGUUUCCUGUACAAGCAUGCGUGUGCUUGUUCUGAUCAUCCAAAAGAUCGAUUUCUUCUUCUGAUCUUGAUGAUGCUUAGAGUAAACGAGAUUGAGACUAAGCAAAUGAUUCAAGUGUGUGUUCUUUAUUGAUGCUCAUUGUAUAUAAAGGAUUACAAGGGAUUACAAGGGAUGCCACCAAAAGGUGUCUAUUGGAAGAGAUGCCACCAAAGGAUAACAGUUACAUAUUCGAGAGAAAGGGAAGGCACUUGUCCCUUAAACAUGGAUUCCUACAUAUUUAACAUGUGCUAAAUAUAAUUCUAACAGCAACCAUGGCGUUAAUUUCUAUAUACCUGUUUGUGAGGAUGCAAUUGUAAAGGAACUACCUGCAAAAUCUUCUGUUUGUAUGAAAUUAGGCAGACGGUGAAUACGUAAUGGUGAUCUGGAUUCUGGAAGCUAGUGGGGCUCACCGAAUAAAGCCAAUUCGAAGUACUUUUCAUGUGCAACGUUUUUUCAGUUGUAAGUCAUCAAAAAGAAUUACUUGGAACUGCCAAAAGACAUCAAAGACCACGAAGUGCUUCAUUCAGGACACAACACACAAUUGUACAAGUGGAGCAAAAAAAACCGAUCAUGACAUGAAACCAACAGAAAGGGCAGAAGACAAUUUAGAAUAUAAUGUAAAAUUGAACAACAGAUUGAAAAUUGAACUAUUGCAUGAGUUCAAUAAAUUUUCACACAUGGACUUCCUUGACAGUUGCAUCCUCACAAACAGAAGAUUUUGCAGUUGCAUCCUCGCAAACAGAAGAUCGUGUAUGCAUUUCUUUUAUGGAUGCAUCAUCAAGGUCAUCGUCUUCAAACUAUUCCUGGCUGGUUGUGUUGGAACCAUAAAGAAGUCAAAGCCAUAAACAUGUCAUUGCGACUUUGUGAUGCAUGUUGUCUGUAAAGACAAAAAAUUAAAGCUUUUCUCCAACUCUCAGACAUUGUCUGACCUACUGCGACAGAGCAGAUCCUAGUGCAAAGGUAGAAUUGACACAGGCAAGUCAGAUUUCUCCCCAGCUCCAAAUGUUAGACAUCAGUUCAAAAAUUGAACCCAUGCUACUCAUUCAUGGAAGCAUCAAGGUAUCCAUGGUGAAGUAAAUAGAAAAGCAGCAGGCUGGAGGCGGCCAACGCUCUGAUCAAAGUAGUUCCUAUUCCUUAAUUCUUAAGAGGGAAAACAACUUGUGAAGGCAUUAUAUUCGAGGCAACAACAUUCUUCUUUGUCUACAAAA